GACGGACCUGCGCUUCCAGAG
rnacentral:misc_RNA from 1 species